rnacentral:rRNA from 1 species
UACGUACAAGCAGUGGGAGCCCCACCACUAAGCCAGUGGUGAACUCCACAUACGCAUCCUUUGCUGAGGAUACGGUUAACGGAGCGAAAGCGACGUUCAACCUCAAAAGAAGCAGAGGGGGCUUAGUGGUGGGGUGACUGCGUACCUUUUGUAUAAUGGGUCAGCGACUUAUAUUCUGUAGCAAGGUUAACCGAAUAGGGGAGCCGGAGGGAAACCGAGUCUUAACUGGGCGUUAAGUUGCAGGGUA